rnacentral:rRNA from 1 species
GCCCUUCGCAAAUUACCCACUCUCAACGCGAGGAGGUAGUGACGAGAAAUAACGAGACCGUUCUCAUACGAGGCCGGUUAUUGGAAUGGGUACAAUUUAAACCCUUUAACGAGUAUCUAUGAGAGGGCAAGUCUGGUGCCAGCAGCCGCGGUAAUUCCAGCUCUCAAAAUGCAUAGAAUUAUUGCUGCGGUUAAAAAGCUCGUAGUUGGAUCUGUGCCGACUGGCCGGUCCCCCUUUUGGGUGCGUACUGGUUCGGUUGGCUUUUCCGCCGGAGUGCCUGGCGUUGGUGUGCUCGCGAGGGUGUGCCAGCGCGGGUCCGGCAAGUUUACUUUGAACAAAUCAGAGUGCUUCAAACAGGCGUCUCGCCUGAAUGUUCGUGCAUGGAAUAAUAGAAGAGGAUUUCGGUCCGAUUUUAUUGGUUUUGCUGACCGAGAUAAUGGUUAACAGAGACAAACGGGGCCAUUCGUAUUGCUGCGUGAGAGGUGAAAUUCUUUGGACCCGUACAAGACGGACUACAGCGAAAGCAUUUGGCAAGAAUGUCUUUCUUAAUUCAAAGAACGAAAGUCANAGGUUCGAAGGCGAUCAAAUCCCCCCCAGUUUUGNCCCGUAAACCAAUCCCACUAGCGAUNCCCCGGCGGAUNAUUCCCCCCUGUGGGGGAGCUUCCCGGAAACAAAAAUUUUCCGGUUCCGGGGGAAGUNUGGUUGNAAAGCUUUAAACU